UACGUAGGGGGCAAGCGUUGUCCGGAAUCAUUGGGCGUAAAGCGCGUGUAGGCGGUUCGGUAAGUCUGCUGUGAAAGUCCAGGGCUCAACCCUGGGAUGCCGGUGGAUACUGUCGGACUAGAGUACGGAAGAGGCGAGUGGAAUUCCCGGUGUAGCGGUGAAAUGCGCAGAUAUCGGGAGGAACACCAGUGGCGAAGGCGGUCUCCUGGGGCAUUCUUGACGCUGAGGCGCGAAAGCUGGGGGAGCAAACGGG
rnacentral:rRNA from 1 species